rnacentral:misc_RNA from 1 species
AAUAAGGGAAAAAAGAGUGUUUCAAGAUCGCUAAAGUUGUGAAAGCCGAACUAAACUAGUGGUUUGCCAACCAUAUAGCCAUCCCAAAAGGACAUUCCCCUAGAACUAGCUAAUUUUGGUCCCUUUAGUGGUAUGGCGGGCAACCAAAAUCAAGAAAUUGCUUGGCUAAUCCAAGAACUAAAGAGAAAUAAAGUAGGCAAGCUUGGACGCACUCCUCCUGCCAAGAAGAGCCAACCUGAAGAACCUCCCCCUAUUUCUAUUCCAAUUACUCCCAAUCCCAUGGUUCACUGCCUGGUCCCCUACACUCUAUUAAUGAACCAGCUACUCCUACCUCUUCUUAUGAGCAUGUGAUCGGUGGGAGCAUUCCGAUCUCUCUCAGCUCCUAGAUCCUGGCCCAAUCUAUUCGAGAGAAUCAAUUAGUCAAGAAUAAUAAAGAUUUUGCUCUGGUACUGAGUGCCUCAGUUUGCAUGUUAGAAGAUCAGAAGCAGUUAGAGAAAGAAAG